rnacentral:rRNA from 1 species
UACGAAGGGGGGCUAGCGUUGCUCGGAAUUACUGGGCGUAAAGGGCGCGUAGGCGGGUCGUUAAGUUAGAGGUGAAAGCCCAGGGCUCAACCCUGGAAUUGCCUUUAAUACUGUCGACCUUGAGUAUGGCAGAGGUGUGUGGAACUCCGAGUGUAGAGGUGAAAUUCGUAGAUAUUCGGAAGAAACACCAGUGGCGAAGGCGACACACUGGGCCAUUACUGACGCUGAGGCGCGAAAGCGUGGGGAGCAAACAGG